AUUGAACGCUGGCGGCAGGCUUAACACAUGCAAGUCGAGCGGAGAUGAGGUGCUUGCACCUUAUCUUAGCGGCGGACGGGUGAGUAAUGCUUAGGAAUCUGCCUAUUAGUGGGGGACAACAUUCCGAAAGGAAUGCUAAUACCGCAUACGCCCUACGGGGGAAAGCAGGGGAUCUUCGGACCUUGCGCUAAUAGAUGAGCCUAAGUCGGAUUAGCUAGUUGGUGGGGUAAAGGCCUACCAAGGCGACGAUCUGUAGCGGGUCUGAGAGGAUGAUCCGCCACACUGGGACUGAGACACGGCCCAGACUCCUACGGGAGGCAGCAGUGGGGAAUAUUGGACAAUGGGCGGAAGCCUGAUCCAGCCAUGCCGUGUGUGAAGAAGGCCUUUUGGUUGUAAAGCACUUUAAGCGAGGAGGAGGCUACCUGGAUUAAUACUCUAGGAUAGUGGACGUUACUCGCAGAAUAAGCACCGGCUAACUCUGUGCCAGCAGCCGCGGUAAUAC
rnacentral:rRNA from 1 species